UACGGAGGAUCCAAGCGUUAUCCGGAAUCAUUGGGCUUAAGGGGUCCGUAGGCGGUUUGGUAAGUCAGUGGUGAAAGCCCAUCGCUCAACGGUGGAACGGCCAUUGAUACUGCCAGACUUGAAUUAUUAGGAAGUAACUAGAAUAUGUAGUGUAGCGGUGAAAUGCUUAGAGAUUACAUGGAAUACCAAUUGCGAAGGCAGGUUACUACUAAUGGAUUGACGCUGAUGGACGAAAGCGUGGGUAGCGAACAGG
rnacentral:rRNA from 1 species